rnacentral:rRNA from 1 species
GUGGGGAAUAUUGGACAAUGGGCGAAAGCCUGAUCCAGCCAUGCCGCGUGAGUGAUGAAGGCCUUAGGGUUGUAAAGCUCUUUCAGUAGGGAAGAUAAUGACGGUACCUACAGAAGAAGCCCCGGCUAACUUCGUGCCAGCAGCCGCGGUAAUACGAAGGGGGCUAGCGUUGUUCGGAUUUACUGGGCGUAAAGCGCACGUAGGCGGAUUGGUCAGUUAGAGGUGAAAUCCUGGAGCUCAACUCCAGAACUGCCUUUAAUACUGCCAGUCUAGAGUCCGGAAGAGGUGAGUGGAACUCCUAGUGUAGAGGUGGAAUUCGUAGAUAUUAGGAAGAACACCAGUGGCGAAGGCGGCUCACUGGUCUGGUACUGACGCUGAGGUGCGAAAGCGUGGGGAGCAAACAGGAUUAGAAACCCCAGUAGUCC